rnacentral:rRNA from 1 species
UACAGAGGUGGCAAGCGUUGUUCGGAAUUACUGGGCGUAAAGGGCGCGUAGGUGGCCUUCUUAGUCAGACGUGAAAUCCCCAGGCUUAACCUGGGAACUGCGUCUGAUACUGGAAGGCUCGAGUUCGGGAGAGGAAUGUGGAAUUCCAGGUGUAGCGGUGAAAUGCGUAGAUAUCUGGAGGAACACCGGUGGCGAAGGCGGCAUUCUGGACCGAAACUGACGCUGAGGCGCGAAAGCCAGGGAGCAAACGGG